rnacentral:lncRNA from 1 species
AUUCUGCAUUGAUCCAAACUUUUUUAGACUAAAUUAAUUAUUUGACAUAGAAUUGAAGGGAAUACAAGCUCGACCUAGGAGUACUUUGAAGUUGCCAGCAGAAAUGCAUGUUUACAUAUGCUGGCUGCUUGCUUAUUAGUGAAAGAACAAAAACGAUCAUUUCUCACCUCACCUGUGGUUGAAAAUUUGUCUCGUGUUUGCGUUUUCAUGUAGGGUCAUGAACAGUAACAACUUUUUUCCAGAUUCAACUCCAGCACUGACUCCGUCAUAUGGAGGUGCUGCUGACUUGAAAC